CCUAUAUUCCCAGCUACUUGGGAGGCUGAGGUGGGAGGAUCGCUUGAGCCCAGGAGGUCGAGGCUGCAGUGAGCCGAGAUUGCACCACUGCACUCCAGCUGGGGACUUGUGCUCUCUCCCUGCUCUCUCUGCCUCUUCUCUCCCCUAGAAGCCCUCCUGGUCCAACCUGAACUUCUCCUUUAGAUCCUUCAGUCUUCAGUGUGAAACAAGUUUGCUGAAGUGUAACCAACUACUGUGCCCUUGGAGCUCACAUCAUUCCCUUCCAUGAGGCUGCUACUUCUCCAUCCCAGUCUUGGCUAAUCAAAACCCCACUCUCCACUGGUUAAACACAUUCAAUACACCCUUAUCAUGGACCAUGAGGCAGGCAUUAAAAGUGAUGUUGUG
rnacentral:lncRNA from 10 species